rnacentral:rRNA from 1 species
GACGAACGCUGGCGGCGUGCUUAAUACAUGCAAGUCGAACGGAAAGGCCCUGCUCUUGCGGGUUUCUUGUGUGCCGAACGGGUGAGUAACACGUGAGUAACCUGCCCUUAACUGUGUGAUAACAUUAGGAAACAGCGGCUCUUACCGGAUAUGAUCUCUUGCUGCAUGGUGUUGGAUGGAAAGUUUCGGCGGUUGUGGCUGGUCUCGCUGCUUAUCAGCUUGUUUGGCUGGUAGGGACUUACCAAGGCUUUGACGGAUAGCCGGCAUGAGAGGGUGGACGGCGACCAUGGGACUGCGAUACGCACCAGUAUCGUACGGGAGGCAGCAGUGGGGAAUAUUGCAGAGUGGGGGGAAGCCUGUUGCGGAAGCGCCGCGUGCGGAAUGCCGGCCUUCGGGUUGUAAACAGAUUUCGAAUGUAACGAAGCGUGAGUGACGGUAAUGGGUAAGGAAGCACCGGCUAACUACGUG